GACGAACGCUGGCGGCGUGCUUAACACAUGCAAGUCGAACGCUGAAGCCCUUCGGGGUGGAUGAGUGGCGAACGGGUGAGUAACACGUGGGUAAUCUGCCCUGCACUCUGGGAUAAGCCUUGGAAACGGGGUCUAAUACCGGAUAGGACACAUCGCCGCAUGGUGUGUGUGUGGAAAGUUCCGGCGGUGCAGGUUGAGCCCGCGGCCUAUCAGCUUGUUAGUGGGGUGAUGGCCUACCAAGGCGACGACGGGUAGCCGGCCUGAGAGGGUGACCGGCCACACGGGGACUGAGACACGGCCCAGACUCCUACGGGAGGCAGCAGUGGGGAAUCUUGCGCAAUGGGCGAAAGCCUGACGCAGCAACGCCGCGUGGGGGAUGACGGCCUUCGGGUUGUAAACCUCUUUCGACCGGGACGAAGGAUUCGUUUGACGGUACCGGUAGAAGAAGCACCGGCUAACUACGUGCCAGCCGCCGCCGUAACAC
rnacentral:rRNA from 1 species